AUAGAUGACAUUAUAAAUUACAAUAAAUAUUUUAAAAGCGUAUCAGGCGACGUAGGAGACGAAAAAUCCGUUGGGGGGUCGAGAGUUUGGAUCGAUGUCUCAGCCCGUUGUUCCGGAAGAAAUACGAGUAGAGCAGAGAGACAAGGGAACAAGAUAUGUGAUAAUAAAGUUUUACACACGAUCGAAUCAAACGUUUGUACGCUCCUGACUCCCUCUCUCGUGAUAUUCACGCAGACAUGGCAACCGUGAGGAGGCUCUGCUAUUGAGGGUUGGAGAAUGAUCUUCACCAGUGCUGCACUAAGCAUGCUCGUUUAAAAAAAGGAGAGGUAUCAGGUAUUAUGGCUAAAAAAAAUUUAUCUAAUAGAAUUUUCUGAAGAAUAAGAAUUAAAAAAGAGGAUUAUAAAUCAAAGAAAAUUAAAUUUAAACACUUAGAUGUGGAUAAUAUACUGAUACUCGUAGAUGAUAUAUUCAGCAGGUUAUAUUACACUCUUCUGACGUAAUUUUAACGAGCGAAUCGUAACAUUGUGGUAUGUUACUCUACACACACUGAGAAUACUAACGAGCAAGUGGGACAACGUUAAUAAUCCUAAACUUAACGAAUUAAUUUUUACUAUUAAUCAUA